rnacentral:rRNA from 1 species
GUCUACGCCCAUACCACCCUGAAUGCGCCCGAUCUCUGAAGCUAAGCAGGGUCGGGCCUGGUUAGUACUUGGAUGGGAGAAUCUUGUCUUUUGCAAAUA